rnacentral:lncRNA from 1 species
CUCGAAGGACUCCUCACGACCUCUUCCACCCGGAUUUGAAUCAGAGCACCGGUCCAGCCCCCGCUGUGUUCCCAGGGAAGAAAGGAGCUCGAGAGAGGAGGACAAGGUUUUGCCCAAGGUUGCUCGCUCAUUCAUUCACUCACUCACUCAGCAAAUCCUUAUGGAGCACCUACCCCUAGAUGCGGGGUCCUGUGGUUACAGUUGUGGACAAAACGGUGGUAGGGAAGAAAUGGAAGAACCCUGAGGGUUAGAAGCCGAGCCUGAGAAUCUGGAGGGGGUGAAAACACAAAACAGAUUGUGAGGCUAGGAGUUCCAAGAAAUAGGGAAUUGUUCAAAACCAGGAAACAAGAAAACAUUCUCCUCUUAUCCUUCCUUGAAAGGCUUCGUUUUUCUCUCUAAAGAUACUCGACUCAGCAAAGUUCCCUUCUCCUCCCUGUGCUGCGAACGCUUGCUGGAAAAAGCUGGAUGGCCGUUGGAAUGCAUUUUGCAGUUAGAGAAGAAUAUGGGGACUUUUAGACAUCAAGCAGAACAAGCGAAAGGGAGCAACGGUGGUUUGGUACAAUGAGGGUUACUUUCAGACACGGAUUUGGCUCUCACCUGCCACACAACCUUUGGCAAGUCAUUCAACCUCUGGGAGCUUCAUUUCCUCAUCUUCAGGAUGGAACUUAUCAUCCUUACUGCUCACAGUUCUGCGGGACUGUGAAGGGAAAGGAAGUUGCCCAGUGACUGAACAUCCCAUUAGGAACUUCCUCACCAAACCCAAGCAAGAGAUCAGGCGAGAUUUGUCCUGGGCAGAUCUUUGGAGUGAGGCUGUCUGUGCUGGCCAGAUGGUGAAACUGUGACUGAGGAGAUGUUGAUUCCAGAGUAUCAUUCCUGAAAAGUCAUAAUCUCACACUUUCAAGAGACCCCCACGGAGGUGUUGCCAGGGAAGUCAAAAUUUAGAAGCCUCCUCUGAAAGGAAAGAGAAGACUCAAGAGAUCGAUGU